rnacentral:misc_RNA from 1 species
UCCCGGUUGGCCCGGGCAGUCUUGCCUGAAAAAUACAACAGACAACAAGGGUUGCGCUCGUUGCGGGACUUAACCCAACAUCUCACGACACGAGCUGACGACGGCCAUGCAGCACCUGUCACCUGGCUCCCGAAGGCACUCCCACCUUUCGGCGGGAUUCCAGGGAUGUCAAGCCUCGGUAAGGUUCUUCGCGUAGCAUCGAAUUAAACCACAUGAUCCACUGCUUGUGCGGGUCCCCGUCAAUUCCUUUGAGUUUUAAUCUUGCGAUCGUACUCCCCAGGCGGCAUACUUAACGCGUUAGCUUCUCAGCCCAAAGGGUCGAUACUUCAGACUGAUAGUAUGCAUCGUUUACGGCGUGGACUAC